rnacentral:tRNA from 1 species
GCCUCCAUAGUUAAAUGGAUAUAAUAAACCCCUCCUAAGGGUUAGUUAUAGGUUCGAUUCCUAUUGGGGGUGCCA